CUCUUCCGAUCUGGAAUGCCUAGGCUCUCAGAGGCGAAGAAAGACGUGAUAAGCUGCGAUAAGCUUGGGGGAGUGGCAAAUACAUUUUGAUCCCAAGAUUUCUGAAUGGGGAAACCUAGCUGGUUGAAGACCAGUUACACCUUCGGGUGGGCGAACGCGCUGAACUGAAACAUCUAAGUAGGCGCAGGAGAAGAAAACAAUAGUGAUUUCCGGAGUAGCGGCGAGCGAAAUGGAAUUAGCCCAAACCAAGAUUGUUUCGGCAAUUUUGGGGUUGUAGGACUGAAACAUUUGUUUAAGUUUAUAGUAAAAUCAGUUGGAAAGCUGAGCAAUAGGAGUGAUAGCCUCGUAUACAAAAUAGACUUGAAUGAUAUCAGUAUCCUGAGUAGGGCGGGACAUGUGAAAUCCUGUCUGAAUCUGUCAGAACCAUCUGAUAAGGCUAAAUACUCCUGAGAGACCGAUAGCGAACGAGUACCGUGAGGGAAAGGUGAAAAGAACCCUGAAUAAGGGAGUGAAAAAGAUCCUGAAACCGUGUGUCUACAAGCGGUCGAAGCCUACGGGCGACGGCGUGCCUUUUGCAUAAUGAUCCUACGAGUUACUCCUCAUUGGCAAGGUUAAGUAUUUCAGAUACGAAGCCGAAGCGAAAGCGAGUCUUAAUAGGGCGACAUAGUCAGUGGGGGUAGACGCGAAACCUUGUGAUCUACCCAUGACCAGGUUGAAGUUCCAGUAACAUGGAAUGGAGGACCGAACCAAUAUACGUUGAAAAGUGUUUGGAUGAGUUGUGGGUAGGGGUGAAAGGCCAAUCAAACUGGGAAAUAGCUCGUACUCCCCGAAAUGCAUUUAGGUGCAGCGUUCAGGUAGAGUUUUAUAGAGGUAGAGCUACUGAUAGGGCUAGGGGGCUUCACCGCCUACCAAACCCUGACAAACUCCGAAUGCUAUAAAAUAUACUGAGCAGUGAGGGCAUGGGUGCUAAGGUCCAUGUCCGAGAGGGAAAGAACCCAGACCAUCGGCUAAGGUCCCAAAAUAUACACUAAGUUGAUCAAACGUUGUGCGAUUGCAUAGACAGCUAGGAUGUUGGCUUGGAAGCAGCCAUUCAUUUAAAGAGUGCGUAACAGCUCACUAGUCGAGCGAUCGUGCGUGGAUAAUAAUCGGGCAUUAAGUGUAUUACCGAAGCUGUGGAUUGUAUGUUUACAUACACUGGUAGGGGAGCAUUCUAUGGGCGUUGAAUGCGGAUGGUGAUGUCCGCUGGAGCGCAUAGAAAAGCAAAUGUAGGAAUAAGUAACGAUAAAGCAGGCGAGAAACCUGCUCACCGAUAGACUAAGGUUUCCUGAGCGACGCUAAUCGUCUCAGGGUUAGUCGGGACCUAACGCGAACCCGAAGGGGGUAGUGGAUGGACAAUGGGUUAAUAUUCCCAUACUUGUUAUAACUGCGAUGGGGUGACGGAGUAAUGAAAGGACCGCGCACUGACGGAAUAGUGCGUUAAAGGGUGUAGAUAUAAGGACGGUAGGCAAAUCCGCCGACCUUGUCGAACCUGAUAGUACUGCGAGGCUUCGGCUGAGUAGAUAGUGUCCCUAAGCGCUUCCAAGAAAAACCUCUAAGCUUCAGGUUAUAACAACUCGUACCGCAAACCAACACAGGUAGUCAAGGAGAGAAUCCUAAGGUGCUCGAGUGAUUCAUGGCUAAGGAACUAGGCAAAAUGGUCUCGUAACUUCGGGAGAAGAGACGCCAACAGCAAUGUUGGCCGCAGUAAAAAGGCCCAGGCAACUGUUUAUCAAAAACACAUGGCUUUGCAAAAUCGAAAGAUGACGUAUAAGGCCUGACACCUGCCCGGUGCUGGAAGGUUAAGAGGAGAUGUUAGUUUCGGCGAAGCAUUGAAUUGAAGCCCCAGUAAACGGCGGCCGUAACAAUAACGGUCCUAAGGUAGCGAAAUUCCUUGUCGGGUAAGUUCCGACCUGCACGAA
rnacentral:rRNA from 1 species